AUUGAACGCUGGCGGCAGGCCUAAUACAUGCAAGUCGGGCGAGCGGAGGACGGGUGCGUAAUGUAUGGGGAUCUGCCUGAUGGAGGGGGCAAAAUACUGGAAACGGUAGCUAAUACCGCAUAACAACAGAUGAAACCAUAUGGGAUUAGCUUGUAGGGGAGGGAACGGCUCAACUAGGCGACGAUCCCUAGCCGGGCUGAGAGGAUGAUCGGCCACACUGGGACUGAGACACGGCCCAGACUCCUACGGGAGGCAGCAGUGGGGAAUAUUGCACAAUGGACGCAAGCCUGAUGCAGCCAUGCCGCGUGUAUGAAGAAGGCCUUCGGGUUGUAAAGUACUUUCAGUCGGGAAGCGUUACCGACAGAAGAAGCACCGGCUAACUCCGUGCCAGCAGCCGCGGUAAUUC
rnacentral:rRNA from 1 species